CACGUAGGGGGCGAGCGUUGUCCGGAUUUAUUGGGCGUAAAGAGCUCGUAGGCGGUCUGUCGCGUCUGCUGUGAAAACUCAGGGCUUAACCCUGAGCUUGCAGUGGGUACGGGCAGACUAGAGUGCGGUAGGGGAGACUGGAAUUCCUGGUGUAGCGGUGAAAUGCGCAGAUAUCGGAAGGAACGCCCGUGGCGAAAGCGGGCUCCUGGACCCCAACUGACGCUGAGGCGCGAAAGCCAGGGGAGCGAACGGG
rnacentral:rRNA from 1 species